rnacentral:rRNA from 1 species
GUUUUGACGUUAUUGGAAACAGUAAUUUCUUCGGACAAAAUACAAGGUGCUGCAUGGUUGUCGUCAGCUCGUGCCGUGAGGUGUCAGGUUAAGUCCUAUAACGAGCGCAACCCCUGUUGUUAGUUGCCAGCGAGUAAUGUCGGGAACUCUAGCAAGACUGCCGGUGUAAACCGCGAGGAAGGUGGGGAUGACGUCAAAUCAUCACGGCCCUUACGUCCUGGGCCACACACGUGCUACAAUGGCCGGUACAGAGAGCAGCCACUUGGCGACAAGGAGCGAAUCUACAAAACCGGUCACAGUUCGGAUCGGAGUCUGCAGCUCGACUCCGUGAAGCUGGAAUCGCUAGUAAUCGGAUAUCAGCCAUGAUCCGGUGAAUACGUUCCCGGGCCUUGUACACACCGCCCGUCAAGCCAUGGAAGCUGGGGGUACCUGAAGUCGGUGACCGCAAGGAGCUGCCUAGGGUAAAACCGGUAACUGGGGCUAAGUCGUAACAAGGUAAGCGUAGUGCU